rnacentral:rRNA from 1 species
UACGUAGGUGGCAAGCGUUGUCCGGAUUUACUGGGCGUAAAGAGCGCGCAGGCGGUCGUUCAAGUCGCGUGUGAAAGCCCCCGGCUCAACUGGGGAGGGUCACGCGAUACUGAUCGACUCGAAGGCAGGAGAGGGAAGUGGAAUUCCCGGUGUAGUGGUGAAAUGCGUAGAUAUCUGGAGGAACACCGGUGGCGAAGGCGGCAUCCUGGACCAUGACUGACGCUGAGGAGCGAAAGCCAGGGGAGCAAACGGG